UGUUAUGCCACUGUGCUAUUGUGUUGUUGUACUAUUGUGUUGUUGUGCACUCCAAUAGGAACUGGUAAGGGCAAGGAAGAGGUCUAUCAACCAUGAGUUAGAGGGCAUGGAUCGGUGUGUACAUGUUUGGCCUACCUGGAUGCCACGACUGCAGUUAUUUUGAGGAACACGUGAUAAACGUUUGAUUUUGUCACUUACGUUGACUGUACUAUACCUUUGGAUUGUAAAUGCAUUUCAAUACAAUAUUUUG